rnacentral:lncRNA from 1 species
CUCUAUGUGUGUAUAUUGCAAUUAGGCCCAUAAUAGGGAAAUUGAAACGAGCAAGAAAAAUAAGUUUUAUGAUAAUAAGAAAUAAAGAUAUAUUAAAACUCGUCAGUGGAUUACAGAAUCACUCAUCCAAACGAGUAAUUAAAAAUUAAGUACCACAUAAUUCAAACUACAGUCGUUGCAUAGAUUAUAAAUAAACUGCCAAUUUCUUUUUGAGUAAAUAGUUUGCACGAAUUAAAAGUUUAAAACUCAAAAUAAGAGUUGACCAACUCCCAGAAGCACAUAGAAAGAGUUAUGAGCUAACUAAGAUUAAAAAGAAAAAUAAGAGGAAAUCCGUACCCAGAUCUAUGAAAUUCCAGCCGCAAUCCUCCAAAUCCUUGAGCUUGCUUUAAACAAUAACAAUCCAACCCAAGCUAACUAAAAAUUAUAACUUCUUUCCCAAAGCUAAACAAACCCCCCCAAAUUAAAAACUAGAUAUUAAAUUAAAUGAGUUUGAUAUACAAGUGUAGACGAAGGGUUUCAGAAGAAAAGAGGCUGAAAGCGAAAAUGAAAAUUGCUGAUGCUUGUUUUUGUUUAUAGUUUUAUUUUAUAGUAUAAAUGGAGUGUUGAGCUGAAAUAAAUGCAAUUGUAUUUUGUUCAUUUGAUCAUUUGGGAGUACGCAUGGUUAUCUCUGAUUCAGUGUGUGGCAUUGUGAACCCAAGUGGGUUUAAAUCUAAAAUAAAGGUUCAACCCGGCCCUUA